AGUGGCGGACGGGUGAGUAACGCGUGAGAAUCUGCCUUUUGGUCGGGGAUAACAGUUGGAAACGACUGCUAAUACCGGAUGCGCCUACGGGUGAAAGAUUUAUUGCCAAAAGAUGAGCUCGCGUCUGAUUAGCUAGUAGGUGAGGUGAUGGCUCACCUAGGCGACGAUCAGUAACUGGUCUGAGAGGAUGACCAGUCACACUGGGACUGAGACACGGCCCAGACUCCUAUGGGAGGCAGCAGUGGGGAAUUUUCCGCAAUGGGCGAAAGCCUGACGGAGCAAUACCGCGUGAGGGAGGAAGGCUUUUGGGUUGUAAACCUCUUUUAUUAGGGAAGAAGAUCUGACGGUACCUAAUGAAUCAGCAUCGGCUAACUUCGUGCCAGCAGCCGCAGUAAUACGAGGGAUGCAAGCGUUAUCCGGAAUUAUUGGGCGUAAAGCGUCCGCAGGUGGUUUUACAAGUCUGCUGUCAAAGCGUGGAGCUUAACUCCAUAACGGCGGUGGAAACUGUAAGACUAGAGGUCAGUAGGGGUCACGGGAAUUCCCAGUGUAGCGGUGAAAUGCGUAGAUAUUGGGAAGAACACCAGCGGCGAAAGCGCAUGACUGGGCUGAUUCUGACACUCAUGGACGAAAGCUAGGGGAGCGAAAGGGAUUAGAUACCCCUGUAGUCCUAGCCGUAAACGAUGACAACUAGGUGUUGCGC
rnacentral:rRNA from 1 species